GGGUUGUGAGGUUAAGCGACUAAGCGUACACGGUGGAUGCCCUGGCAGUCAGAGGCGAUGAAGGACGUGCUAAUCUGCGAUAAGCGUCGGUGAGGUGAUAUGAACCGUUAUAACCGGCGAUUUCCGAAUGGGGAAACCCAGUGUGUUUCGACACACUAUCAUUAACUGAAUCCAUAGGUUAAUGAGGCGAACCGGGGGAACUGAAACAUCUAAGUACCCCGAGGAAAAGAAAUCAACCGAGAUUCCCCCAGUAGCGGCGAGCGAACGGGGAGGAGCCCAGAGCCUGAAUCAGUGUGUGUGUUAGUGGAAGCGUCUGGAAAGGCGUGCGAUACAGGGUGACAGCCCCGUACACAAAAAUGCACAUAUUGUGAGCUCGAUGAGUAGGGCGGGACACGUGGUAUCCUGUCUGAAUAUGGGGGGACCAUCCUCCAAGGCUAAAUACUCCUGACUGACCGAUAGUGAACCAGUACCGUGAGGGAAAGGCGAAAAGAACCCCGGCGAGGGGAGUGAAAAAGAACCUGAAACCGUGUACGUACAAGCAGUGGGAGCCUCUUAAUGGGGUGACUGCGUACCUUUUGUAUAAUGGGUCAGCGACUUAUAUUCUGUAGCAAGGUUAACCGAAUAGGGGAGCCGAAGGGAAACCGAGUCUUAACUGGGCGUUAAGUUGCAGGGUAUAGACCCGAAACCCGGUGAUCUAGCCAUGGGCAGGUUGAAGGUUGGGUAACACUAACUGGAGGACCGAACCGACUAAUGUUGAAAAAUUAGCGGAUGACUUGUGGCUGGGGGUGAAAGGCCAAUCAAACCGGGAGAUAGCUGGUUCUCCCCGAAAGCUAUUUAGGUAGCGCCUCGUGAAUUCAUCUCCGGGGGUAGAGCACUGUUUCGGCAAGGGGGUCAUCCCGACUUACCAACCCGAUGCAAACUGCGAAUACCGGAGAAUGUUAUCACGGGAGACACACGGCGGGUGCUAACGUCCGUCGUGAAGAGGGAAACAACCCAGACCGCCAGCUAAGGUCCCAAAGUCAUGGUUAAGUGGGAAACGAUGUGGGAAGGCCCAGACAGCCAGGAUGUUGGCUUAGAAGCAGCCAUCAUUUAAAGAAAGCGUAAUAGCUCACUGGUCGAGUCGGCCUGCGCGGAAGAUGUAACGGGGCUAAACCAUGCACCGAAGCUGCGGCAGCGACACUAUGUGUUGUUGGGUAGGGGAGCGUUCUGUAAGCCUGUGAAGGUGGCCUGUGAGGGUUGCUGGAGGUAUCAGAAGUGCGAAUGCUGACAUAAGUAACGAUAAAGCGGGUGAAAAGCCCGCUCGCCGGAAGACCAAGGGUUCCUGUCCAACGUUAAUCGGGGCAGGGUGAGUCGACCCCUAAGGCGAGGCCGAAAGGCGUAGUCGAUGGGAAACAGGUUAAUAUUCCUGUACUUGGUGUUACUGCGAAGGGGGGACGGAGAAGGCUAUGUUGGCCGGGCGACGGUUGUCCCGGUUUAAGCGUGUAGGCUGGUUUUCCAGGCAAAUCCGGAAAACCAAGGCUGAGGCGUGAUGACGAGGCACUACGGUGCUGAAGCGACAAAUGCCCUGCUUCCAGGAAAAGCCUCUAAGCAUCAGGUAACAUCAAAUCGUACCCCAAACCGACACAGGUGGUCAGGUAGAGAAUACCAAG
rnacentral:rRNA from 1 species